UACGGAGGGUGCGAGCGUUGUCCGGAAUCACUGGGCGUAAAGGGCGCGUAGGCGGUCUGCUAAGCGUGUGGUGAAAGCUCGGGGCUCAACCCCGAGUCGGCCAUGCGAACUGGUGGACUCGAGCACUGUAGAGGCAGGUGGAAUUCCGGGUGUAGCGGUGGAAUGCGUAGAGAUCCGGAAGAACACCGGUGGCGAAGGCGGCCUGCUGGGCAGUAGCUGACGCUGAGGCGCGAUAGCGUGGGGAGCGAACAGG
rnacentral:rRNA from 1 species